GUGUUCCAGUCGCCUAAUUCGCACCAACCUUGCGGAUGCGGGAGAAUUUCCCUGAGGUGAAUCAACUCUUGUUAAGAGUUGAGGGGCUACUCUGCGGCCCCAACCGAUGAGCUAAUCCCGCAGGCGUUGCAGAACCGCUUC
rnacentral:sRNA from 2 species